CUUGACUAUCCAUUGGCCCACGUGGGUAUCUACAGUAGAUUGAUAGCUCUGAGAGUUCUCAUUUGACCUUGUCACUUGGUUCGGUGAUAUUACAAUAGAAGUAGAAACUUUCAGCAGCCUGUAAGUGAGAACGGAAAUUAUAUUGAGAAAUCCAGAUGUGCAGUUGUGCAAGAGCAAGCUGGUGUGGAUUUUUGAAUGGAUAUUCUGAAGACAACUAGGUGAAAGCAACAGCCCACAAUUGCCUGCAUUUUCUUUCCUCUUCAAAACCACUUCUGCUCCAAAGACCAUGAACCUGAACUGAAGAAACGACUCCUUCCUGCUGGUGUGAGAUAAUUCAGUCUCCAUGAUGUCUUAAUCCUGGGCCUCCCUUAAUUGACUUCUAACUGUGCUGAACUGUGGCUGCUAGGAGUUGCAAUGUGGAUCGCAAUUUACAAGGAAGAGAAAAAGACCGGUCUCUGUUUGGAAAUUACAAACAUAGAAGAACUUAGAAACAAUGGGUUUCUAGAUUGGGUGGAAGGUAAGCUCUAAAUCUACUGAUUUGCUUGUCUUUGUUUGCUCUGCCUCUGUGGGUAGUUGGGACUAUCCCUAAAUAAAUCUUUGGGGUUUUCCACCAUGCU
rnacentral:lncRNA from 1 species